GGGGAUAUAGCUCAGUUGGGAGAGUGCUUGAAUGGCAUUCAAGAGGUCGUCGGUUCGAUCCCGAUUAUCUCCACCA
rnacentral:tRNA from 3 species